rnacentral:tRNA from 1 species
GGGCGAGUGGCGGAAUGGCAGACGCAAGGGACUUAAAAUCCCUCGGCCCAUAAAGUCGUGAGAGUUCGAGUCUCUCCUCGCCCACCA